CUUGGUGUGUCCAGAAGCUCUUUUAGUGGUGAUGGUGGUUGUCGUACUGGAGGUAGUUUAACACGACCUUGCUGGCAGCAAAUACUGAACCGUUUGGUUUCCAUUUGGGUUCCUCUUCCCACAGACUCAGAGCCCCAAACCAAAGCACCACACUGAAGACAUGACAUCAACUCCCAUUUAUCUACUUUUUUUUUGGGUCUCACUCCUGCAAUUGUGUUUGAAAAUUGGAGGCUAUGUUGGUACAUACGCUAAAGACAAAUGAUAGUGGGGGUAGAUUUUGUGAAUACCUGCAUCCCUUGGAAGACGCUUAGCAAUACCUGGUGUAGUGAAAAUCAGUUUGUUGCACUGGAGCUACCGAUGCUGUAUUCCUCGGGAAUCCGCAAAGCUGUCUUUGUUUUUGAGCAUGAAAGUGUUGUCGAGGUCUGGGCUCUACGUUGAUUUGCAGGAAGGUUGGCAGAUGGACCGGCGUCUUGCUCUAGCUGAUUUUCCCAAGGACUCUGCAAAUGUUUCAGGAUGAAUGUAAAUAUAGGGUGGCGCUAGAAUGGAUUCUAACUAUCUAUGAGGGUAGUAGAUGAUAGAAUAUAAUAUUCUCAAACACACCUUCAGAAGCUACGGAAGGACUGUACGACCGUCGAAUGUACUCGGGUCUUAACCAUGGUCGUCUGUCCAAAUGUUUAGCAACACCUGCAUAAGAGCAUGUGAGGGGUUGGAGGCUGAAGCGUUGUGAUCGUCUGCUUGCUUUCACAGAACUUGAUCCUGGAUCCUCGGCGGUGCUGGGAUUUUUCUUCUUUCCCAUUUAAGUUUGUAUAUUUGGAGCUUGCGAAUAUCAGAGAUAUUUGAGUGAGGCCUGUAUGUACGUAGCUUGUAUCGGUGAGGGUCUGCUCAUAUGGUAGUAUCUACUUUCAUUUGGCUUUUUGUUUUCUAGGACAAUUGGUCUAGAUAGCUUUGGUUUUUUUUUUGGUAUGUCGAACAUUAAAGUCUUUUAUUAUUGGACUUAACGUAUUCUGAGUCGAA